CUCUAACCUAGAGAUCUGCGUUGGCUCAAAUCCAGCAUCAUUUGACACAUGUCUACUAUAUUAUCAGAUAUCGGAGUAGACAUGUUUCAUACUUUCGCUUUUACAACAAGUUAACGAGGUCUCUCACAAUGACAAAAUGAAGGCCCAGAGAGGAACGCUGACUCCCCUAGCUGUUGGGCUGUGAGAAGUUCAAGACACAUGGAGAGGCCAUAAGGGGGCGCUCUGGUCCACAGCCCCAGCAUCAGUUGCCAUUCAUGGGAGCGAGCCAUCCUGGAUGCCCAGCCCACUGAGCCUACAGACGACUUCAGACCCAGCUGAUACUGGACUGCAACCAUACAAGACACCGUAAGCAAGAGUACCCAGCUGAAAUCAAUCAACCUCCACAGCCACAGAGAGAGAACAACAAAUUGUUAUUUUAAGCCAGUUAAUUUUGGGGUAGUUUGUUAUGGAGCAAUAGACCACUGAAAUAAAUAGCAAGGAGAGCAUUGUAACUGGAGGGGAGUGAGCAAAAGGGAAAUUAGUAGGAGACGAAGUCAGAAAUGAACAUGAGAAGUCCAAUUGGAUAUUUCCUCAUAAAGGCUUUGAGUUUUGCUGUGAGUGAAAUGGAGGGCCUUUGCAGGGUAGUGAAAGAGAAGUGACAUGAUCUGACUUACAUUCUUAGAGGAUCUCUCUGGCUGCUGUGUAGGGAAUCAAUUGCAGAUACUGUUGUAACUAUCUAGGGGAGCAAGGAUGAUGGCUCAGAUCAGGUUGGUAGAGUGGUGGGAAGUGAGAAGUUGUUAGCAUCUGUAUAUGUUUUGGAGCUAGAGCACAAAAGUGUUUGCUGAUGGAUUGAGAUGUGAGAGAAUGAAAUGGUUAAGAAUGCCUGAGAUACUGGAAGAAUGUUUCCAUUCUUAACUGAGAUGAGGGAUAUCUCUGGAGGAGCAGGCUCAAGGAGGAAGCUUGAGAGUUCACCCUGGGAUAUUUUAAAUUUGAAACAUUUACUGGACAUCCCAGUGGAAAUAUCAAGUAGGUUUGAGUUAGUGAAGGUAUCAGGGGUGGAGAUAUGCAUAUAUAUAUAUAUAUAUAUAUAUAUGGGAGUUAUCAUCACAUGGACUUUUUAAAACCACAAACUAAUGAGAUCAUCUAUGGAGUGAGUGUUAGAGAAGAGAACAGAAGAGAAGUGGACCAGAGACUGACCCCUGAGGCAUUCCACGGUGAAAAGGCUGGGGGAAGACAAAGAGACAGCAACAUAGACUGAGAAGGAAUAGUCAGACACAUAGGAGGAAAACCGAGACGGGGAGUAUCCUAGAAGUCCAGGGAAGGAAGUGGGUCCAGGAGGAAGGAGUUACCAGCUGGGUCAAAUGCUGCUGAGAGGUCAAGAAGAGAACUGAGGACUGAUUUCUGUUUUCAGCAAAGGGUCUCAGCCAGGUCAUUGCAGACUCUCUUUCUCUCUAUUUCUCCCCAUACACAACACAAUAUUUAUUGAGCAUUUUCUAUAUGGCAGAUACUUCCUAGGACUUAGGGUUACUAGGUUAAAUGAAAUGUUCUCUUGAAGACUUUACAACCAUCCAACUGAUUAAAUAUUUACUGCAUAAUUACUGUGUGUAAGACACUCUGCUAAAUACUCUGAGAGUUAUAAAUGUUGUAUAGGACACACGUUUAACCUAAUUGGAAACAUUAGACAGAAACACACAGACUGUAAAAUUGGAGUACAAGUGAGGCGUAUAAGAAAUGUCACAAUGAAGUGUAAAGUUGCAGUAAAUGGCAGCAUAGAAGACAAAAUGCUAUAUGAUGAAGAAAUUGGGUGCCUAAGUUGGAAAAAUCUGGAAAAACUUCAUGAAAGGCACACAAGUGGAAAAAUGCAGGGGUGGAGAGCGUGUGGCACAGGCAUUGGAGGUCAAUAAGUAAGCAACUUUGGAGAAAUCAGAAAAUGAAUAUAAAAAGGUAAUCAACCUGGUAUAGGAGUUAGGAUGGAGUGUGGUUGGCGGAUGAUAGGACUCAGAAAUAAAAUCACUGAAAUGGAUUCCUGCUUUGAAUAAUACAGGGAAACGGACCCGGGCCCCGGCGGUGAGAGCACUGAAUCUUAACCACUGACCAAUAUGGCUGGCUUUAAAAACGUUUCCUAAGCACUUCUGAUGUGGGUAACCAAAACCUGAACAUAACCCACGCAGCCCCUCCAGGAAGAUCUCCAUCCACUAGGGGAAUCAGACACUGCUUUAAAUCAUUGUCGACACAAUAAAAUAUGGAUAUCAUACAGGCUACAAUUUGGCGUAUUUUAUUUUGCAAUUUAGAAGAAAUUCUUUUAAACAGAAGCCACCAGGAUGUUCACAGUAAGUGGGCUCUCAGAUGCAUUUUGGAUUUUCUCUUUUAUCCUACAAGCUUACCGUUGCUAUUUCCAGAGUUCACUUUUCAUGUCUCUAUUAUGUGUAAUAGAUGAUUUUAAACUCUUUCUUCCCCUUUUAAACUCACUUGAAAGAUAACUAUAGCUCAUCAAAUUUUUCUUAUAUUUUAAAAUAUUAACAUGGGUUUUUAGAACGAUAUUUUCCCUCCCAUUUUUUUUUUUUUUGUAUUUUUAAAUUAGCAGACUGCUUCGACUCUCUGAGAACCAGGAAUCUAGGCAGCCUUCUGGCCUAAACCUCUGUUAGUAGAUGAUGGCAAUUUUAACAAAACUGGCUACGAGUGUCUUUAGGGCUUUCUAGUUGUCCUGAUGGGGACAUGUAGGCUACAGAACAAUGGAAAGUGGGUCUGGCUCAAUGAUAUUUAAACUCUCUUGCAGCUGUUCUAUCUAACAUCUUGAGGGCACAUUAGUAUCAUUUGUAUUCUGAGAUCCUUUCGACAUCAGUGUAACCCGCAGCAUUGAACUCAACAUUGGCACAUACAUUCCAGCUCAGGACAGGGUGUGCGUAAAGGAAUUCUGGAGCAAGAACUGUCUAGCUGCAAGAUGAACUGACAAAAAUCUCUUGUUGGAGGAUAUAGAGGUGAGGGAAAAAAUAGGCUUUAUUUGCUAUUAGUGGAAGGGUCAGUCUAAAAGUGAAAUGGCUCUGACAUCUGGCAAUUAGCAGAGAUUGUACAUUUUAUAGGUCCUAUGGGUACCAGGGCUGGUCCUGAGACAAGUGAACCAGGAAAUAGGAAUGCGGUAUUGGGUCAGGGGGGAGCAGGCAGAUGACCUCUAAGGUCAGUUAACUCUUUUCAAUUUCUGAGAAGUGAGUUUGAAAGUGAAAUCUGUCUCUUCUCAGAAAACGUGACUUAGAAGCAAACAUGUGUAAGAAAGUACCUUUUGCACUUUUUGUGGUUUGAGCUAAGCAAGGUAAAUUGCUGGUGUAAGCUUGAAACUUGCAGCUCUGUUUUUGCAGAAAAAUUUGAGCCCUUUACACCCUGAAUGCCUCUAGUGUACACACAUCCCUUUGGAAGUCCACUCUGCCCUACCUGGAUAACAAAUCACAUCCAGAGAAGUGCCACCAAAACAAGGGGUAGCUGAUGCAAAUCAUAGAUACCACUUUAACUGCCCAACGCCGAAAAGGGUCCCACAUUUUCACUGCCCUUUAGCCAGCUCUGUGCAUCCAUACCCCAACCUCUUCAUGUUUGCUGUAGAGGGUUGUGCCUGGGCAUAGAGAGCCAGAAGUGCCUUACAACCCCCAGGGCAGCCUGUUGUCAAUGCCUGACUGACCACAGGAAUACAAUAGCCAGCCUCCUUUGUCUUUAGACAAGACCACUUUCAGAGAGUAACUGAUACUCCAGGCUCCCUGCAGGAUCAGGCUGCAGCUUGGGGCUUCACGGAGAUCACACCCUCGCUUGGCGUCUUCCUCUUCCUUCCUCUGCUUCCUUUCCUCCUUUCCUGGUUUCUUGUGGGAGCACUUCCUUAAUACAUCCCCGGCACUAAAAUCUGCACUUCUGGGUCUGCUUCUGAGAGAACUGGGCCUCAAACUCAAAGGCAGUUAGGGUGGAUUGAAUUGAGAUUUAAAGGAGAGAAUAAGCAAGUUUAAUUUGUUUGAGGCAACUAGUCCUAUUUAGGCACAAAACAAGUGAAUGACAAUUCCGGAAAAGAGUUUAGAAAUCCAGUUACUGGAUGGCAAUUUGCAGAAAUUUAAUGAAGCUAAAGAAAUUCAUAAUUCUUUUGUGCCUGUGUAUCAGCUGAGACAGACUUUAACAGGUGAAACUGCCUGGGUUCAGCUGAAAUGUGAUGGAGUCUAAGUUCCAUGCAUCUCGGAUCUAAGAUCCAUGAACGCAUCUUGCAAUUUAGAACGUGACUAUACAAAGUGAAGUUAGAGACAUGACCUUGUUUCUCACCCAUGUCUCCCUAGGACUCAGUAGUUUAGGAAGCUUCCCCGUGCUACAAGAACCUGUGACUUUCUGUCUAAAAUAACAUGCUUGACCUGAUGUCAGGUGGGCUGUAAAUGCCAGUAGUUCUCAACUAAUAGGAGUCAGUGCAUUAAAUAUACCCUAUUUCUCACUGUUUAAGUGAGUAAUCUCUGAGGCGUGUUCAAUGCGACCUCCUUGAGGUUGAAACCUAGUCUCUCACAAGGGCAGUCUCUUUUGGCUUCUUUUUCUUGCCUGUCCUCAUUCUUCACCCCCCUACUGAUGUUUCCUGGGAUCUCACUCCAAAUCUACUUGCAAUGAAUCCCUGUGUCAACAUCUGUUUCUGAAGCUGGGUACCUGCGGGUUACUGUAGAUACUCAACAAGCAAUUUUCCGUUUUCUUGUUUAACUUGAGGAGUGACUCAGGGGUCUUAAGGAUUUGUGAGCUUGUUUUGCAGAAAAAAGAGAACGCCUUUGGGAAGGUUGCAAUCACUGGAUGGCUGGCCCCCCGCAGCUGUUGAACCCAGAAUUCAGAUUGCCCAGGGGCUUAUCAAGAGUGUCCCCUUUGUUUCUCUGAAGCUCCUCCUACAAAUCCCCUUAGCACUAUAAAAUCCCCCUGCUUUUUGCUCUUGCUAAGGUGGACUUGAGCAAACCCAUGCUCCCACCUUGUUUUGGCCAAUUUGAAUAAAACCUUUCUCCAUCUCCAAACACUAUGUCUCAAUGUUUGGCUGACUGCUCCUCGGGCACAUGAAUUUGAGAUUAAGAGAUUAGGUAUCAAUUCUGGUGAGCCAGCCAGGAGUCUUGUGUCCGUAGCUGGAUGGGCACAGUGAGGGUUUGAGCAGUUGGUGGUCCCCAGCAGCUGCCUAGGUGUCUUUGCCCAGGGGACUUCCUCUGCUUCUCCUCCCUUCCCACUGGCAUCAACCGCCCUUGGUGCAGCACUCACUUGGAGUGGAGAAAUGUAUUGGACCUCGGUCUACUUUUUGUCAUUGUGUGGAUGCAUUUGUCUUAUCAGAUAUGAGUACUUUUGAUUUUGCUUUGCUGGGUGAGUCAUCACAACACACGCAGCUACAAAUUCCCUGUCUCCCUGUUUGCAUUUUGUGUGAUUGAAAGGAGGCAUCCUCAUAUGGGAGAGAGAGAGGGGACUGUUGGACUUCACCUUUUGCUUUUAUCCUGCAGGUGUUGGAUUUUGUCUUUGUGUGGGUGCACUCGUGUGUGUGAGUCAGCUACAGGAAACACUAAUUCCAUCCCUGAAUGCAGCCUCCUGGGACACAUACUUCAAAACUGGAUGGCUUUUAGUUAUGAGCCUAUGAAAUGUGAAAAGAUGAGUUUCCUUUGUAAUGUUUCCCGGCCACAGUGCUCCUUAGGUUUUUGAGAAAAGUGGCCUGUUAAUGGAUCUCUAAGUUAUGCUAUCAUCUUGCAAUUGGAGUUGUUCUGUAACAGAAAAGGGAAAUGGGAUGAAAUCUCGUACGUGCAGGCUUUUAUGCUGUUGCACUAAAAUGAGUCAGCCCACAGGAGGUACAAUCUGAUGGUGCAAAGGGCUGAGAAGCCUGAGCUAGUUCUGUUGGACGCCAAGGGCAUGAAGAAGGAUGAUGAAAUUUUGAUCAAUGCGUUAAAUCCUCCCACAGCUCUGCCAGAAACCCUGCUGGCCCUUGUGCCACCUCCUUUUCAGCCAGCACCCUCUCUGCUGGUUCCCACUCUGCAACCAGUGGACCCUUCACUCAUGGCAACCUCCGGCCCACCCCCCUAUGGAAGGCAGGUAGCAGGGACCACACAACCCCCAAGAGUUGAGGGAAGCCAGGAUGUGCUCUCUACUUCCCGUAGGUAGUAGGGUGUGCAGUUCAGCCAGGGAGCAGGGGCUUCUCAAGAACGGCAGUUUCCACUCCCCGAGUUCCCAAUCAGAGGACUGAAUGCUAAUGGCCAGCCAGCAGGCCUGAUAUGAGUGCAUCCCCUCUUUUCUAUUUUGGAUCUUUUUAAUUGGAAGAACAAUAAUCCAUCCUAUAGACAGGACCCCAAGCAUAUGACUGAGUUAUUCUCCUCCAUCAUUUUUAAAAAGAUUUUUCCUUUUUCUCCCCAAAGCCCCCCAGUACAUAGCUGUAUAUUUUUAGUUGUGAGUCCUUAUAGCUGUGGCAUGUAGGAUGCUGCCUCAGCAUGGCCUGAUGAGUGGUGCCAUGUCCAUGCCCAGGAUCCCAACUGGCAAAACUCUGGGCUGCCGAAGCAGAGAGCAUGAACUUAACCACUUGGCCAUGGGGCCGGCCCCUCCUCCAUCUUUUUGACAUACCAUCCCACUUGGGCUGACAUUCAAGCCUUAAUGAAUAUUUUACUCACAGCGGGGGAGGCCAUAUGGUUAUUGAAAAGGCACAGGAGGAACCCCAUUGGCUCCAUUUCAAGGACGGGGACAAUCAGCCUAAUUUCACUGAGGCUGUCCCACAGUUGAACUAAACUGGGAUACAAAUGGAGGGGGAAUGCUCUGCCUAGAACACUACAGGAAAUGUAUUCUGGAAGGAUUGGGAAAAGGAGUCCCACAAAGUUCAGGAAGUUCAGCAAAAACCACAGAAGGAUCCGUCCCAGUUUUUAGAACAAGCAUAUCAAGCCUAUAGGAAGUACACCAGUGCUGACCCUGAGGCCCCAGAGAAUCAGAAAGUAAUCAACAUGACCUUCAGCAGUGGGAGUGCCCCAGAAUCAGGAGGAAACUACGGAAGGUCGAUGGGGCCCUCAUGCUGACCAUCUCCCACGUGGAUGACCUUGCUUUUAAGGUUUACAACUGUAGGGAUCAGGUCCAGGACAUGAAGGAACAAUGGAGAAUGAAGCAGCGGGUCUCUCUGCUGGUGGUGGUGCUCCAUCAAUGAGCCAUUGGGAAGACAGGGAGAAGAUCAAAAAAGGGACUGAGAAAGAUAAGAGGAGAACGUCCAACCCUGGGGAAAGAUCAGUGUGUAUGAUGUAAGGAAGAAGGACAUUAGAAGAAGGAGUGUCCCAGGUUGUAGAAGAUGGCCAAAGAAGGUGAGACACCCUUAACCCAAAUGGUGAAAAUAGAAGGGGGAGAUACAGAUGAGGAAUGAAUAGGCCCAGGGACCCUGCUUAGACUGAAGCAAGCUAUCUUUAUAUCCCCACAGUAGCCUCAGGUUCAAAUGACAGUGGGCAAAAAGAUAAUUGACUUUCUCAUCAAUACAGGGGCUACCUACUUUGUUGUUAACACACAUUUAUCCCCCAACUCAAAAGAAGCUAUCUAUGGUUGUUACCAGGGUGUCAGUGAAGACAAUGACCCACCCCUUUUUACAACCCUUGGACUGUCAUCUUGGAAAUACAAACCUGAGACACAGUUACAUACACAGAUACAUGCCCUAAUGCCCUAUUCCUCUUCUGGGUCAGGAUUUGCUUGCCAGGCUAAAUGCCCAAAUUAUUUGUUCCCCAGGACACUUAGAAGUGGAGGUCCCUCCGAGCUUGCCUUCACCUCUCAGACGCUAUUGUUGCAGCUUGAUGAUGGAUCUCAACCUGAGAUACCUGAGGAAAUUCUUGAUAGGGUAAGAGAGGACAUCUAGGCAAGUGGGAGGUAGGGAUGGACCAAAACCAUGGUUCCUGUGAAGGAGCAUGAGAGCCUCAAUCUAAAACAAUACCCUCUGAAAGAAAAAGCACAGAGAGAGGUAAAGCCCUAUUGAAGGUUUUUCUGCAGCAGGGCUUGAUUCACCCACGUUCUCACCUUACCAUACUCUCAUCUUACCAGUGUUCAAGCCCAAGUCCAAUGAAUACCAGUUCCUUCAAGACCUUCGAGCUAUAAAUCAGAUGGCUCCAGAUGUGCACCCAGUGGUUCCCAAUCUGAACACUUUGCUGACUAUUUUGUCAGGAGACCCGUGCUGGUUCACGGUCUUGGGUUUGAAAGAUGCCUUUUUCUGCAUUUCCUGGGAUGAAAGUUCCCAAGAGGCCUUUCCCUUUGAGUGUCAAGGUCCCAAGACCAAUGUCAAACAGAAGUUUUGCUGGUCCGUUUUGCCUCAGGGUUUUAAAAAUCUGCCCACGAUAUUUGGGGAAAUAUUGGCUAGGGACCUAAGGGAACUUCAGCUGGUGGAAGGGGCUCUUACAAUAUGUGGACGACGUUCUCGUUGCUAAUAAAUCUAAGGAAGCUUCAGCUGAAAACACCACUUGAAUUUUAAAAUUUCUUAGCAGAUAGAGGUUACAAGGUUUCAAAGAAGAAGACCCAAAUUUGUGAAAAGACAGUUAAAUACUUAGGGUUUGAACUGCCAGAAGGACAGAGAAGCCUGCUCCCAGAUAGGAGGGAAGCAAUCCCUUAAGUAGUGACUCUCACCACCCGUUUACAGAUGUGGGGAUUUUUAGGGAUGGCAGGCUUCUGUUGAAUUUGGAUUCCCAACUCAGGAUUAACUGUAAAACCUCUGUAUGAGGCCUUAAAGGGAGGAGACCUCGAGCCUUUGGUGUGGACACAAGUGUGCCAGAAUGCAAUCAGGUUAAAGAAAAAUUGUUAACUGCCUCAGUCUUGGGACUCCAAGAUUUGAGAAAGCCCUUUGCUCUUUUUGUACAUGAGAAACAGAGCCUUAGUUUGGACGUCCUGACCCAGAACUUUGGACCCACUAGGAGGCCUGUGGCCAUUUUUCUAAGCAGUUGGUCAGAGGAUGGCCACCUUGCUUCUGAGCUGUUGUCCGCCACCAGUGACAUACUACAGGAAACUGAAAAGUUCACACUGGGGCAACCCACCAUGGUGCACACUCCCCGCUGUGUCCUCCCUUUUUAGAACAGAUGGAGGACAUUGACUAACCUCAAGAAGAUUAGGUAGGUAUGAGGCUAUUUUAUUAGACCACCCAGAGGUAAGUUAAAAGCUAUUUCUACCUUAAACCCUGCAACCUGCUACCUACUGAUGUCAAACAGCCCUCCUUUUAUGACUGUCUUCAGAUCAUUGAACAGGUAUUCUCUAGUUGACCUGAUUAGACUGACCAACCUUUGGAGUAGCCAGACUUGGAAUUGCUCACUGAUGGAAGCAGCUUCAUGGAUCAGGGGCAAUGUCAAGCAGUGUACAUAGUUGUCACCUUAUAGGACACCAUGGAAACAAAGGCCCUACCUCCAGGUAUCUCAGCUCAAAAGGCUAAACUUAUAGCACUAACUAGGGCUCUUCAAAUAGGUAAAGACAACAGAGUCAAUAUAUAUAUACAGAUUCAAAAUGUGCCUUUUUAGUGGUCCAUGCCCACAGGGCCAUAUGGAAAGAUGGGGGACUCUUGACUGCUGGAAAGAGGGACACAAAAUAUUGCCAGGAAAUGCUAACAUUCUUAGAGGCCGUUAAUGACCCCAUGGCAGUAACUAUCGUUCACUGCCCUGGACAUCAGAAAGGGGACACUUUGGAAGCCAGAGGCAAUCAACUGGCUGAUCAGGCAGCCAAGACUGCUGCUAGGACUAUGAGUUUCAAGGCACUCCUGGCUCCCUUAGUUCCCCAAAUUGACUGUAUUCCAACCUAGCUACCCCCAGAAAGAUUUAGGGAGAGCCAGAGAAGGGGGAUUUGGCUCCUCCUCUCUGGAGCAUCCUGGCUGGAAAUGUACCUUGGAAGUACUCAUCCUGGUACCUGAAGCCCUUCUGGGAGAAAUUGUUAAUCAAACCCAUCAGAGCACUCACUAUGGGAGGGAUGCCACCUUGCAGUGGAUCCAAAGGUAUUUAGUCGGUCUGAAAUUGUAACAGAUCAUUCAGAAAGUUACCCAACAAUAUGUUAUGUGUGGCAAAAAUAAUCCCAGGACGGGGCUGCCCUCUUUGAACAAGGGGGUUCAACAUUGAGGAGCAGCUCCCUGUGAGGACUGACAAGUUGACUUUAUUAUGAUGCCUCGAGCCUCUGGGAAUGUCAAGUAUCUCCUAGUAUUCAUAGAUACCUUUACAGGAUGGGUUGAAGCUUUUCCUUCCAGAACUGAGAGGGCUAAUGAAGUGACCAAAGCUUUGUUAAAGGAGAUCAUUCCCAGGUACGGAUUCCCACUGUUGAUCCAGAGUGACAACAGAGUCGCAUUUAUCUCCCUAAUAACCCAAGAAAUAUCAAAAGGCUUGGGGAUCACUUAGAAACUCCAUGCCUCAUGGCAGCCCCAGUCAAUGGGGAAGACUGAAAAGACGAACCACAAAGAAGACUAUUGCCAAAAUUUGUCAGGAAACUAACUUAAUCUGGGACAAGGCGUUGCCCUCUGCCCUGCUGAGCAUCUGGGUAGCUCCCUGAAGUAGGCUUUAAUUGAGCCCCUUCGAAGUGAUGUCUGGGAGACCAUUCUCAGCUUCACCAAUGGGGGGAGAUUUUAUACAACAGAAAGAAAUAGCAAUCAGGCAGCACUUAAAAUUUUUAAAUGGAAUCCUAACUUCUCUUCAUGAGUUUGCCUCUCACAGAUCCCUGUUCCUGUCAGAUGUCCCACCCUACCACAUCAAGGCAGGUGACCAUGUUCUCCUUAAGUCUGGGAAGGAGCAUGGACCAAAGGAUCAACUAACCCCCAAGUGGACUGGGCCUUAUGAAGUCCUCCUGACCACCCAUUCAUCAGUCAAAUUGGCCAGAGUCAAGCCGUGGAUUCAUCAUACCUGAGUGAGGCUCACCUCCACCACAACCAGAGCCACUGGUCUUAUGAGCCACUGAAAGACCUUAAGCUGCUAUUCUGGGUUAAGAUAGCUGAUACCAAGCCGUCAGAUAAAUAAAAUUAUUUGGGGUCUUGCAUUCUGAGUUCUGGAAAUUUGGGUUAUCAAAUAUGGAAUAAAGUGCUGUUCUAAGUUAAAAUCAAUCAAAUAAAGAUAAUGCAAAAUGCAAAAUAUAGCCCAGUACCGAAGAGUAUUUUCAAUCUCAGGUUCAAAAAUUUGCUUCCUCAGUUUCCCCAUCUUUACCCCCUUUCAGCAAGAAGUAGCCAAACAAUCCAUAUGCCACUUCCUAGAAGAAUGAGGAAGGGAAAAUAGACAGUGGAGAUUAAAGCUGGGUACCUGAGGGUUACCAUAGAUAUUCAAUAAGCAACUUGCUGGUUUCUUGCUUAACUUGAGGAGUGACUCAGGGGUCUCAAGGAUUUGUGAGCUUGUUUUUCAGAAUACAGAGAAUAACUUUGGGGGGUUUGCAAUCACUGCAUGGCUGGCCCCCAGCUGCCAUUGGUGCCUAGAAGUCAGAUUUCCCAGGGGCUUAUGAGGAGUGACCCCUUUGUUUCUCUGAAGCUCCUCCUGCAAAGCCCCUUAGCUCUAUAAAACCCCCCUACUUUUUGCUUUUGUUAAGGUGGAUUUGAGCAAAUCCAUGCUCCCACCUUCUCAUUUUGG
ensembl:lncRNA